rnacentral:lncRNA from 1 species
AUGUGGUCAUUUUCAUCAUUAGAAAGAGAAAAAGAGCAGAGACAGAAAAGGCCCACCGUCCCUAGGGGACCUGGGCUCGGGUGGGGGAGCCGGCCACCAGCCCAGGGCGCCGGGGGGCAGGGCAGAGCCGGCGCUGGGCUCCCUCCCGCAGCGACGGGGAGUGGAGGGGGGUCUGGGCUGGCGGGUGCUGAGCGCUGGGAGGCCAGGCCUGGGCUUGGGCCACUGGCUCCAGGGUCCAGGGGCGGGUGGGGUGAUGGCAGACCUGGGGCGCCCGCACGGCCUGUCUGGUCCUCCACGGUCCCACCCUCCAGGCUGAGGACGAGAAGCGGCGGAGGGGGCUGCCCUGGUGAGGAGGACACACCUGGGCAAACAGGAACCCCCGCCCCAGGGCACAUCCCGGGCUGGGCGCUGCGGGCUGCACCUCCCGGGAGGGCUGGGGGUGGCCUGGGAGUCAGGGCUGCUGACGGGGAGGACAGGAAGGGCGGCGGCGCCCGCGCCAGGAAGCUGAGCUUUCGCUUCCACCUGCUGCGGCCCGGCCUCCGCCUCCCCGCCGCCGAGGGGCACGGCCCGCGGGCCUCCCUGGGGGUCUGGGGGCAUCUGCAGGGUUCUGGUCCUGAGUCUGGCGGCCGGCGGCGGGCAGGGGCCGCCCACCCUGCGCACAGGAGAGUGGCACGGGGGGCUGAGCCAGUCGCGGCCGGAUGCUUGAGGGGAGCGAUGGCUGCAGACCUGUGGUCGGGUGUGGGGGAGCGCGAGGAAGGUGGCGGGGCGGCGGCUGAAUCGGGUGCUGCUCUACCGCAGGCACCUGGCCGCGGCUUCCACCCGCAGGGCCUCCAGUGGCCGCGGAAAACCUCGGGCUGGCCGCCCCAAUCCCUCCUCCCCGGGUUCCGGCCCCCAGAUCAGAGGCAGCGUAGAGACGCCUCCUCCGGGAGGCCCUCCGGUGUCCCUCUGUGUCUCCCUCCGUGUCUCCCUGCUGUCCUGGGAGGAGGCCUCUUGGGCCUGGGAGGACCCUGA